rnacentral:rRNA from 1 species
GGUUGUGGUCUUGAACCGUGGCUUCUGGAGCUAACGCGUUAAAUCGACCGCCUGGGGAGUACGGCCGCAAGGUUAAAACUCAAAUGAAUUGACGGGGGCCCGCACAAGCGGUGGAGCAUGUGGUUUAAUUCGAUGCAACGCGAAGAACCUUACCUACUCUUGACAUCCAGCGAAUCCUUUAGAGAUAGAGGAGUGCCUUCGGGAACGCUGAGACAGGUGCUGCAUGGCUGUCGUCAGCUCGUGUUGUGAAAUGUUGGGUUAAGUCCCGCAACGAGCGCAACCCUUAUCCUUUGUUGCCAGCGCGUCAUGGCGGGAACUCAAAGGAGACUGCCGGUGAUAAACCGGAGGAAGGUGGGGAUGACGUCAAGUCAUCAUGGCCCUUACGAGCAGGGCUACACACGUGCUACAAUGGCAGAUACAAAGAGAAGCGACCUCGCGAGAGCAAGCGGAACUCAUAAAGUCUGUCGUAGUCCGGAUUGGAGUCUGCAACUCGACUCCAUGAAGUCGGAAUCGCUAGUAAUCGUAGAUCAGAAUGCUACGGUGAAUACGUUCCCGGGCCUUGUACACACCGCCCGUCACACCAUGGGAGUGGGUUGCAAAAGAAGUAGGUAGCUUAACCUUCGGGAGGGC